rnacentral:rRNA from 1 species
AUUGAACGCUGGCGGCAGGCUUAACACAUGCAAGCCGAGCGGAGCUAGUAUGCUUGCAGCUUAGCUUAGCGGCGGACGGGGAAGUAAUGCUUAGUCAUCUGCACAUUGGUGGGGGACAACAUUCCGAAAGGAAUGCUAAUACCGCAUACGCCCUCUGGGGGAAAACAUCGGAUUUUCGGACCUUGCGCUAGUAGAUUAGCUUAAGUCGGAUUAGCUAGUUGGCGGGGUAAAGGCCUACCAAGGCGACGAUCUGUAGCAGGUCUGAGAGGAUGAUCCGCCACACUGGGACUGAGACACGGCCCAGACUCCUACGGGAGGCAGCAGUAGGGAAUAUUGGACAAUGGGCGGAAGCCUGAUCCAGCCAUGCCGCGUGUGUGAAGAAGGCCUUUUGGUUGUAAAGCACUUUAAGCGAGGAAGAGGCUACUUAGAUUAAUACUCUGGGAUAGUGGACGUUACUCGCAGAAUAAGCACCGGCUAACUCUGUGCCAGCCGCCGCGGUAAUAC